GAUAAGGAGAAACAGCAUUUCUCUCAUGAUGACAGACCAAAGUUUUUUAAAUUGCUGACAGCCUGUGUAGGCAAAGUGUUAUCAGGUGCAUGCACUGGUGAGACCACUUCAGGCCAUGUGACCACUGGAAGUCAAUCUACAGCACUCUGCCAAGAAGAUCCAUUCGAUUGUUGCCUGCGGACCUGUGAUUGCAGCUGCACUGCAUACAAGAGCAGGAAUAUUGCACUUUCAGUGUCGGGAAAUGUUAUCCGACUGAUGAUUAAGCUCAAAGUUAAAUGAUUCCGAAAUGUCUUGUCAUUCACAACCCUGUUGAAAGACCGGGAGUAAUUGUUGUCUUCUUGUCUUGUACAUGUCUUUAUCUCUCUUUGCUUUUCUCACCUAAUUUAGAAUAGUUAAAAUGAAAAAAAAAACAAGAUGUUUGGUUUGUUUUACUAAUCAGCCUGAAAUAAUCCCCCCCCCCCAUCCCUUUCUUUAGAGCAUCUUCCUCAAAGUUUACUGACUAGGUACUAAGCUGUUAAAAGCAGUAGACCGUGCCCAAACUAUAUCUAUUGAUAGAGAACAGUGAGGCUCAUUGCAGGCCCAGAAUUGCUCUUUGUUUUAACAUUUUGUAGUGAAGGGAGCGAGUGUUCACCAGGGGCUCACAGCGCACAGAGGGGCCUAGAGAGGAAUGUGCCGAGGGGGGAGUUUUAUCGCGCAGGUUGCUUGCCAACAGUCAAGCAGGUGGCGGGAUUUUGUGUGUCUGUUUUUUUUUUUCACUGAAUAAAGCAGCCUUCUUCACCGAUGAAUGGGAGAUGCCAUUCAUGCCCCGUCGGGGGAUUUGCAACGAGAGGGAUUGUGCACAGACUUGCUCUUGUAAAACAUGUCAGAGGACUAACCCUCGUUAGGCAGACACAAACACAAAUACACAGAGACACAGACACAGACAGACGGACAUACACAUAC